GAUGAACGCUGGCGGCGUGCCUAAUACAUGCAAGUCGAGCGAACAGACGAGGAGCUUGCUCCUCUGACGUUAGCGGCGGACGGGUGAGUAACACGUGGAUAACCUACCUAUAAGACUGGGAUAACUUCGGGAAACCGGAGCUAAUACCGGAUAAUAUAUUGAACCGCAUGGUUCAAUAGUGAAAGACGGUUUUGCUGUCACUUAUAGAUGGAUCCGCGCCGCAUUAGCUAGUUGGUAAGGUAACGGCUUACCAAGGCAACGAUGCGUAGCCGACCUGAGAGGGUGAUCGGCCACACUGGAACUGAGACACGGUCCAGACUCCUACGGGAGGCAGCAGUAGGGAAUCUUCCGCAAAGGGCGAAAGCCUGACGGAGCAACGCCGCGUGAGUGAUGAAGGUCUUCGGAUCGUAAAACUCUGUUAUUAGGGAAGAACAAAUGUGUAAGUAACUAUGCACGUCUUGACGAUACCUAAUCAGAAAGCCACGGCUAACUACGUG
rnacentral:rRNA from 1 species